rnacentral:lncRNA from 1 species
CACAAAUUCCACCCUCAAAGAACAUAUUUUGACUAUAUCAACUAAAUUUUACUUGCCUAAUCAACUAACGCAUGACAGAUUCUCCAAUACUAACUUUAAUAUAAAUUAUGCAAAUCUAAGCGCUUACUUGUAACUACUCAAAAAAAAAUUUUAAAAAGAAGUGGAAAAGGUGAAAGUCCAAUUUGGACAAGCCCAUCUGACUUUGAUGGAUCAGGAAGCACUAGCCUGUUAUCCUUCCACUGCAAAGAAUGGGAGGUUCUCGCUGCUCUGUAAAUCCAGCCUGACGCAGUACCCUCCACUCUAAGAGCCACGCAGCUCAUGCUUUCGCUUGAACCACUUGGCUCAAUUCUUCGCUUGGAAACGGGCAGGCCAGCAGAUUGCUAGCCAUGAUCUAGUCAUGGUAGGCUUGAACAAUGUUCUGACACCCUUACGCCUCCACUUGGAUCACAGGCUCGCGUUACCAAGCCCGGCAAUGAGAACUUGCAUCUUGUUUGUUAAUAAAGCGGUUUUAUCUUUGGUUUCUUUCCGAUGUGGGAAUCUCUAACUUUUGAACUCACAUUUUCAGAUCUUACGUUCCGUAUCCUGCGAUUAAUGCUCUGAUUCUUUUCAUAUAUAAAUUCGUUCUGACACCAUGUUGCAACUUGUUGGUGAGACGAGAGUUGGGACUUUGCGAUCUGGGUGAAGUUUGUUAUUGAAGUUAAAACUAGUUUUCGAAAUCCUUGCCUGGUCUGGAGUUGGCCUCUUUUUUCUUUUCAGGUUUGAGAUUGAUAGGAAUCCACCUUGAAGGUGUAUACUUGUUAUGUUAGUAUUUACAAAUGGCAUGGAUUCUUUUCUUGAAUACAUCUUAG